rnacentral:rRNA from 1 species
GUGAGGAAUAUUGGUCAAUGGACGCAAGUCUGAACCAGCCAUGCCGCGUGAAGGAUGAAGGCCCUCUGGGUUGUAAACUUCUUUUCUACGGGAAUAAACCCUCCUACGUGUAGGGGGCUGAAGGUACCGUAGGAAUAAGGACCGGCUAACUUCGUGCCAGCAGCCGCGGUAAUACGAAGGGUCCAAGCGUUAUCCGGAUUCAUUGGGUUUAAAGGGUGCGCAGGCGGGAUUUUAAGUCAGUGGUGAAAGCCCCUCGCUCAACGAGGGAACUGCCAUUGAUACUGAAGUCCUUGAAUAUGGUUGACGUGGGCGGAAUGUGUCAUGUAGCGGUGAAAUGCUUAGAUAUGACACAGAACACCGAUCGCGAAGGCAGCUCACGAAGCCAUUAUUGACGCUCAGGCACGAAAGCGUGGGGAUCAAACAGGAUUAGAUACCCCAGUAGUCC